UUGUCUCAAGAAGCUUAUUAUGCAGCCAAGGCAGAUGCUUUUUCAGUUAGUAUCUCUAGCACCUUUUUCUUUGAAAAAGAGACAAAAAUUGUUUCCGGGUUAGAUUAGUCUCCCCUUAUCUGCUCCGGAUAUGUUCCAAGACUCCCAGUGGAUGCCUGAAACCAUCAAUAACACUGAACUAUUUUUGGAUGGCAGUUGACUGCAGGUAACUGAAACCACAGAAAGUUAAUUGAUAGAUAAGAGAGAACUUCUCUUCUGAAUAGACCAGGCUCCAUUUCCGAAGAAGAUUGUGUACACCAGGGAAUAGAGAAGCUGAGAAGGAGAUGGCAUGCUGAAGAACAAGCCUUGUAUACGUUGGAUAUGAAACCAACUACUGUGAUAGGAGGGAAUAUUUUGUGGGCUGUGGGCUGCUAAGAUUUGUAGAGAGGUGCUAAUGGACUGUGAGAAACUAUUUGGAAAGAUAAUAUAGCAAAUGAAAAAUAUUAUAAGAAUACAUUUAUCCAGAGCUGAAACACACAUGUGUUUAGUGAAAAUACCAUUUUUUCUGGGACUAUUCAGAAUGAUCACAUUGUGUCCGGAAUUGGUGGGUUCUUGGUCUCACUGACUUCAAGAAUGAAGCUGCGGA